UACAGAGGGGGCAAGCGUUGUUCGGAAUUACUGGGCGUAAAGGGCGCGUAGGCGGCCUGCUAAGUCGAACGUGAAAUCCCCGGGCUCAACCCGGGAACUGCGUCCGAUACUGACAGGCUCGAAUCCGGGAGAGGGAUGUGGAAUUCCAGGUGUAGCGGUGAAAUGCGUAGAGAUCAUGAGGAAGACCAGUGGCGAAGGCGAGUCCCUGGACAACACCUGACACUGAGGCACGAAAGCUAGGGGAGCAAACAGG
rnacentral:rRNA from 1 species